GGCUUGUGUUUCACACAAAACUGGUCUUAGAAGGGGAAGGGCGAUGCAUUUUUAGGAUAGCCAUGCAGAUACAUGAACAUUUUUGUUUAUUUUAAUGAUCUCAUCAAUACAGUGGAUUCCAUCAUAAAACUAUUCUGCAGAAUCAUUGAUGGGAGGGGAAAAAUGUAAGAAAAUUGGCAUUGUGAGGAACCUGGAACUGCAGUAUAGUCCUUCAAAGAUACUGAAAUGAAAUGGAGUCAACUCCCCUGACAGCAGGAUACUUGAAAUGCAGUUUGUAUGAAAUCUUUUGCUCCCUUGUAUGAAACUUGAAAUGUGAAAAUGAAACCUCUCAUUAUUAGACUAGCAAAUUGUCUGUAACUCUGUUGCAAAAAGAUUCAAACAAGAUUUUAAAAGAAAUAUGGAGGAUAGGAGGAACAUACUAACUGGAAUAUUUCUUUGUUUCUCUUUUGUGGGAGAGAAGAUCCUUUGAUGUUAUUCAUUUUUUUAAUUAAGACCGUGACCAAGACUUCAUCAAGCAAGGGUGUAAUGGCUUGGCACCGUUGCAGAGCACAAGACAAAGAAACAGGAGAUAAAAAAUGAUUUAUUGUGUAAUGCUGACCAGGACUGUUGCAUCCCUGCUUUAGCCACGUCAUCAUCUGCUAUACUUGCUUUAUA
rnacentral:lncRNA from 1 species